rnacentral:rRNA from 1 species
UUAGUUGCCAUCAUUUAGUUGGGCACUCUAAUGAGACUGCCGGUGACAAACCGGAGGAAGGUGGGGAUGACGUCAAGUCCUCAUGGCCCUUAUGGUAGGGCUUCACACGUCAUACAAUGGUCGGUACAGAGGGUUGCCAAGCCGCGAGGUGGAGCCAAUCCCUUAAAGCCGAUCGUAGUCCGGAUCGUAGUCUGCAACUCGACUACGUGAAGUCGGAAUCGCUAGUAAUCGCAGAUCAGCAUGCUGCGGUGAAUACGUUCCCGGGUCUU